AAUGGGAUGCUGCCCUCUUCUCCGACGCUAGAAGGCGGAGCCUCGGUCUCGAGUCAUCUCGACAAGCCAGAAAUGUCAGGGCACUUUAUACAUACAAGAUGGUUCGUUAUCGAAGGUGCAAUUGGGAAUUAGGAAGGAAGGAAGGAAGGAAGGAAGGAAAAAUAAAAAAUGAUGAAUUUUAUAUGAAAAAAUUUAAUUGAAGAAUAUUUUUUUCUUGUGUCAAACAAACUUAAAAAAAUUGGGAGAGAGAGGGCAGGAUUCAAAAAGAGCUAAACUGAGGUUCCGAAUCCUUCAAUUUAAUCACAAAUUCUUUUCUUUUCACAGAGUUAUUUAAUAAUAUACUAUACGUACAAUUGUUAUAGUGCCGAAUGAAAUAUAAUUAUACUGUAACUUUUCAUUUAUAGAUCUACAUGAUGUUUGCUCGUGACUCACUUUAACAUUCACAAAAUUCUGUAUUCUAUUAAAUACAAUAUAUUAAAGUUUAAUAUAGUUAUACGAACAUAUACAUUAUUCGAAAACGAAAGAUGUUUUUAGUUCCUGUCAGAUCGUUCUUUCAUUCCAUCGCAAAAUUUCAUUUAGAUUGACCAAUCAUUGACAAUAUAUGCACGAAAGAAAAAAUACUUUUUUAUUGAUCUCUUGAUCUUGGCAUUUUGAACAAAUUGACGAAUUGAAACUUUAAAUAUCGUAAUACACAUACACGCAUUAUACACAUGCGCGCGCGUGUAUAUAUAAUGAAGCAAAUGAGAGAAUCGAAUUAAAUCGUUAUUUCUUCGCGUAGAAUAGAGUUUCUCAUCUCUCUCACGGAAUUAAAAAUUACUAUAAAUGUUUGUCAAUGUCAUCAGUGAAAUUUGCAGUUUAUUUAUAGUGUUAUGUGAUGAAUGUUGUUCCGAAAGAGAAGAAUCGUACAAUUUUUCGUAAAAAACAAAAAUGUAUAUUAUCGGGAAAAGAAAAACAUUGAAAAUCUUGAAAAUUUUCGCUGAUUACUCAAAAAAUAAAGAUUAUACGAGAUUCGCGAGAUGGAUGCUUAUCGAUUUCUUUUAAAAUUAGUUUUACUUAUAUGUAUUUUGCAGAAAAUAAAUUUGAAUUCAUUCUCCUCCAUCUACUCUCCUUUUUUUCUCGCGUGAAGCAGCGCGUAAAGGCGUAUCAUUUAAGUUUCUUCCCAUUUUCAUUUCGCAUCUUGCAUCUCGCGGAGUUUGCAUUGGUUUGCGCAAUCCUCGCGACUUUGACUAAUCUGCUCUUACAAUUAGAUCACCCGCGUCGUGACGUGCUUCUCCCUCUCGCAACACUUUUGGCAUCUCGUUUCGCAUCUCGCGACAUUUAUUGUUAGUACCGACGUAUGUACCUCGGUAAGAAAAAAACAAUUUCGUUCGAGCAUGAACAGUGUGUACUUUUCUUUUGGUCUUCCUGAUGCGGCGGUAUCGAUUCUCCACUUGAUAUAAUUAUUAAUAAAUACAAUACUAUUUAUAUUGUAUAUUAUAUUUAUAUAUUAUAUUAUACAUAACUGUUAAUAAUGCACUUACACGAGACUGCGAUUAGAAUCGACAAGUAGAAUAAUUGUUAAUUAUGAAGGUAUAAGGUUAAUUAGAAAGGUAAAUAAGUCGAAAAUCUUUGGCCGGCUUGUUAUUUUAUUUUUGGCUAGAUUUACGAUUUGUAUCUAUGAUACAUCUCGCGUGGGUCAAGAGCUACAAUUGAUAUUGUAUACUAGCUUUUUUUAUACAGGCUUUGAAUAUCAGAAAAUUGAACAAGCUAUAUAGGUAAUUCGCACAUGUAUCGAUUGUAAUUGUAUCCGAUUAUUUUAAUUGCAGUUUCAAUAUCUUAAUUUUCUUUUUUCUUUUCUUAUUCUCUUCCCUAGGCUCUCUCCUCACUUCUUCCGAAAGAUUUCAACAGACUUAAAAAAAAUAUUACGCAACUAGACAUUUUACUUGCUGAUCAAUGGUCUUAAUAUUGUUCACCGCGGCGUACUUAAAUUGAACUCUCUGGUUCAAUUAUACAAACGAUAACGAAAAUGCAUUGCAAGAAGCUUAAUAAGAUGAGAUAAUAUGAUAUUGGUGUUAUCGAUUUAGCCCUUUUGUACAUAUACACGUCUCUCUGAAUGUGACAUAGGUAAAGUUACAUCUGCCGGAACGAUCGUGUCCAAUUAAAAAUGUAGCGAGAUUAAUAGCAAACUUGGAAUUACAUCUUCAUUAUAUUAUUCAUUAUAUUAUUCAUUAUACAUAUAUGUAUGUAUACAUAAAUGUAUAUCUUCGCGACGAGCGGAAACACGUACAGAUGUAAAAAAUAAACGAAUGUCACGAGCGUGUGUUGGUAUGUCUACGUACGUGUAGUGUUAUAUAGAUAUUAUAAAUCCAUAGUACCUGUUUUGCGUUCGAUACAUAUAUGUACGAGAUAUUCGUGAUAGAACGAAAUUGAGAGAGCGACAUGUCGUAUGUAAAGUCACUCGCUCUAAGGAUAGAUUUUGGAACGAAUAAAACUCGAUCGAGUAGUGCAUACAAGAUCGUCUGUUGUUGCGCGUCAGGAUGAUGGAUGCUCUACAUCGACUGAAGAAAUAUGAUGGAUGUUUUUAUGUGAAUUUUAUUUAUAAAAAAGUAAUGAAUGUACAAGUAUGAAGAAAGGAAGCUAAAUGUGAUUGGUCUCAAGAUCCCCGUAAUAAGAUCCUCACGUCGUAGUUUCUCGUAGCUAUCGCGUUUUCUUCCAUAAUAUCGAGGAUGAAUCUGUGCAUUGGUUAAUAGGAUCGUUGAGGAUUAGGAUGAACUGAAUAAAAUGAGUAGCUGAAUAAAUGGCAGGGAAACGAAGAAGGGGGGGGGGGGGGAGGGAAGAAGAAGGAAAAUGAUGU